rnacentral:rRNA from 1 species
UGCCAGACUCCUACGGGAGGCAGCAGUGAGGAAUAUUGGUCAAUGGGCGAGAGCCUGAACCAGCCAAGUCGCGUGAGGGAGUACUGCCCUAUGGGUUGUAAACCUCUUUUGUCGGGGAGCAAAAGCCGGACGUGCCCGGCUGUGAGAGUACCCGAAGAAAAAGCAUCGGCUAACUCCGUGCCAGCAGCCGCGGUAAUACGGAGGAUGCGAGCGUUAUCCGGAUUUAUUGGGUUUAAAGGGUGCGUAGGCGGAAUGCCAAGUCAGCGGUAAAAUCGCGGGGCUCAACCUCGCUCCGCUGUUGAAACUGGCGUUCUUGAGUGGGCGAGAAGUAUGCGGAAUGCGUGGUGUAGCGGUGAAAUGCAUAGAUAUCACGCAGAACUCCGAUUGCGAAGGCAGCAUACCGGCGCCCAACUGACGCUGAAGCACGAAAGCGUGGGUAUCGAACAGGAUUAGAUACCCUCGUA